rnacentral:rRNA from 1 species
AGAGUUUGAUCCUGGCUCAGGAUGAACGCUAGCGACAGGCUUAACACAUGCAAGUCGAGGGGCAGCACGGAGGGAGCAGUCCUUUCGGUGGCGACCGGCGGACGGGUGAGUAACACGUAUGUAACCUACCUGUUACAGGGGGAUAACCCGGAGAAAUCCGGACUAAUACCGCAUACGUUCUUUAUUACACAAGUGAUGAAGAAGAAAGUAGCAAUACGGUAACAGAUGGACAUGCGGUCCAUUAGUUAGUUGGCGGGGUAACGGCCCACCAAGGCGACGAUGGAUAGGGGUUCUGAGAGGAAGGUCCCCCACAUUGGUACUGAGACACGGACCAAACUCCUACGGGAGGCAGCAGUGAGGAAUAUUGGUCAAUGGGCGCGAGCCUGAACCAGCCAAGUCGCGUGAGGGAAGACGGCCUUAUGGGUUGUAAACCUCUUUCAGAUGAGAGUAAAGGGUGCUACGCGUAGCACAUUGCAAGUAUCAUCAGAAGAAGCAUCGGCUAAUUCCGUGCCAGCAGCCGCGGUAAUACGGAAGAUGCGAGCGUUAUCCGGAUUUAUUGGGUUUAAAGGGUGCGUAGGCGGUCGUGCAAGUUGGAGGUGAAAUGCCGGCGCUCAACGUCGGGGGUGCCUCCAAUACUGUGUGGCUGGAAUGGCGAUGCCGCGGGAGGAAUGAGUGGUGUAGCGGUGAAAUGCAUAGAGAUCACUCAGAAUGCCGAUUGCGAAGGCAUCUCGCGAAUCGUCUAUUGACGCUGAGGCACGAGGGCGUGGGGAGCGAACAGGAUUAGAUACCCUGGUAGUCCACGCGGUAAACGAUGAUGACUGGUUGUUGGCGCGUUGGGGCGUCAGGUGUGCCGAGAGAAAUCGUUAAGUCAUCCACCUGGGGAAGUACGGCCGCAAGGCUGAAACUCAAAGGAAUCGACGGGGGCCCGCACAAGCGGAGGAACAUGUGGUUUAAUUCGAUGAUACGCGAGGAACCUUACUCGGGCUCGAACGGUGCAGGAAGGAGCGGGAGACCGCGCCGCCCUACGGGGUCUGCAUCGAGGUGCUGCAUGGUUGUCGUCAGCUCGUGCCGUGAGGUGUCGGCUCAAGUGCCAUAACGAGCGCAACCCUUGCCGUCAGUUGCCAGCGGGUGGAGCCGGGGACUCUGACGGGACUGCCGCCGCAAGGUGAGAGGAAGGUGGGGAUGACGUCAAAUCAGCACGGCCCUUACGUCCGGGGCGACACACGUGUUACAAUGGGGGCUACAGAGGGGGGACCGGGCCGGCGACGGCGAGGGAAUCCCGGAAAGGCCCUCUCAGUUCGGGUCGGAGUCUGCAACCCGACUCCGUGAAGCUGGAUUCGCUAGUAAUCGCGCAUCAGCCAUGGCGCGGUGAAUACGUUCCCGGGCCUUGCACUCACCGCCCGUCA